rnacentral:hammerhead_ribozyme from 1 species
CAACUGUCCCAGGAUGUGUUUCCUGGCUGACGAGUCCGAAAGGAUGAAACAGAAG